rnacentral:rRNA from 1 species
UACGGAGGGUGCGAGCGUUGUCCGGAAUCACUGGGCGUAAAGGGCGCGUAGGCGGCGCGGAAAGUCGUCGGUGAAAGCUCGGGGCUCAACCCUGAGUCUGCCGGUGAUACUCCCGCGCUCGAGCUCACUAGAGGCAGAUGGAAUUCCGGGUGUAGCGGUGGAAUGCGUAGAGAUCCGGAAGAACACCGGUGGCGAAGGCGGCCUGCUGGGCAGUGGCUGGACACUGGAGGCGCGACAGCGGUGGGGAGCAAACAGGG